rnacentral:rRNA from 1 species
AACGAACGCUGGCGGCAUGCCUAACACAUGCAAGUCGAACGAGACCUUCGGGUCUAGUGGCGCACGGGUGCGUAACGCGUGGGAACCUGCCCUUAGGUUCGGAAUAACUCCCCGAAAGGGGUGCUAUUACCGGUUAUGUUCUUGGACCAAAAGAUUUAUCGCCUUUGGAUGGGCCCGCGUUGGAUUAGCUAGUUGGUAGGGUAAAAGCCUACCAAGGCGACGAUCCAUAGCUGGUCUGAGAGGAUGAUCAGCCACACUGGGACUGAGACACGGCCCAGACUCCUACGGGAGGCAGCAGUGGGGAAUAUUGGACAAUGGGCGAAAGCCUGAUCCAGCAAUGCCGCGUGAGUGAUGAAGGCCUUAGGGUUGUAAAGCUCUUUUACCCGGGAUGAUAAUGACAGUACCGGGAGAAUAAGCUCCGGCUAACUCCGUG